rnacentral:rRNA from 1 species
UACGGAGGGUGCAAGCGUUGUCCGGAUUUAUUGGGUUUAAAGGGUGCGUAGGCGGCUUUGUAAGUCAGUGGUGAAAUAUGGCAGCUCAACUGUCAAGGUGCCAUUGAUACUGCGGAGCUUGAGUACAGAUGAGGUAGGCGGAAUUGACGGUGUAGCGGUGAAAUGCUUAGAUAUCGUCAAGAACACCUAUAGCGAAGGCAGCUUACUAGGCUGUAACUGACGCUGAGGCACGAAAGUGUGGGGAUCAAACAGG